AGAAUGAUCUACACUAAAACAUCCUAGAACUAACCUAAUCACCCUUAAUCUCCCUAACCCAUAAAUUCAAAAGGUGAUUACUCACUAAUCUCCAUGAUUCCUCUUGAACCCAUAUUGGAUUUCAGAUUAACCAUGUAGAGAAAUAGAUAAGAAAUCAACAAGAACACAAGAUGAAAGCAAUGAAAUCUGAAUCAAAAGAGGUUUUUUACUAGUUCUUCUCUAGAAAAGAGAUUAUCUUGCCUCCAAUGGCUUACAAAAGUACUUAACUUAGGUUUAGAAAGUGUAAAACAUCAAAACAAAUGACCAAAAGGUCCCUGAAAUAACAUAAAAAA